rnacentral:rRNA from 1 species
GACGAACGCUGGCGGCGCGCUUAACACAUGCAAGUCGAACGGAAAGGCCUGCUUUCCCUUGUGGAUUGCGGGUACUCGAGUGGCGAACGGGUGAGUAACACGUGAGUGAUCUGCCCCCAACUUGGGUAUAAGCCUGGGAAACUGGGUCUAAUUCCCGAUAGGACUGCAGGGUGGUGCCUGUGGUGGAAAACGAUUUUCUAGUGGUUGGGGAUGAGCUCGCGGCCUAUCAGCUUGUUGGUGGGGUAAUGGCCUACCAAGGCGGCGACGGGUAGCCGGCCUGGGAGGGUGGACGGGCACAUUGGGACUGAGAUACGGCCCAGACUCCUACGGGAGGCAGCAGUGGGGAAUAUUGCACAGUGGGCGGAAGCCUGAUGCAGCGACGCCGCGUGGGGGAUGACGGCCUUCGGGUGGUAAACUCCUUUCGACCGCGAGGAAGCCACCUGGUUGGAAGGGUGGUGACGGUAGUGGUAGAAGAAGCACCGGCUAACUACGUG